CUUAUCAAUUAUGUGCCCACUGACAGAGAGGUGCAUCGGAGCAAAGGAAUUGCCGUUCCCAAGAGGUUGUACAAUCACCCCAUGGGCUUAAAAAGACAGACCCAUUUUGUUCGUGAGGCGGCCGUUACCAUUUUUCAUACAGCAGGCCAAGUCGGUAGAAGUGUUACUGGUGCAGCCUCCAAUCGGUCUUAAGGGGAGGCGAAAUCUCCCUAGGAGAAAGAAACAUAUGCUGUAUUUUCAGAUUUCUUCAACCAUUUUUUCGAAGCACACCGUUCUGA
rnacentral:lncRNA from 1 species